rnacentral:lncRNA from 10 species
GGCAUGGGGAGUGAAUAAUGGUUGAAGUUCCAGGCUCUAACUGUACAUCCUUAAGUAAAUUAAGUUUAACUCAUCUAUUAAAAAGUGAGUUAAAACAGAUGAGUUUUAAGGUCCAUCUCAACUCUAAAUGAGACACUAGCAAAAACAAGGAAUCCACCACUUCAGAUCCUUAUGAAACCCAGGAAAAGGUGGGGCACAGUGGAUCACCUGAGGUCAGGAGUUGGAGACCAGCCCGACCAACAUGAUGAAACCCAGUCUCUACUAAAAAUACAAAAAAUAGGCCGGGCGCGGUGGCUCACGCCUGUGAUCCCAGCACUUUGGGAGGCCAAGGCGGGCGGAUCACGAGGUCAGGAGAUUGAGACCAUCCUGGCUAACACCGUGAAACCCCGUCUUUACUAAAAAUACAAAAAAAAAAAAUUAGCUGGGCGCGGUGGCGGGUACCUGUAGCCCCAGCUACUCAGGAGGCUGAGGCAGGAGAAUGGCACGAACCCAGGAGGCGGAGCUUGCAGUGAGCCGAGAUCGCACCACUACACUCCAGCCUGGGCAACAGAGCGACACUCUGUCUCAAAAAAAAAUAAAAAAAUAAAAUAAAAAUAAAAAUACAAAAAAUUAGCGGGGGGUGGUGGCGGGUGCCUGUAAUCCCAGCUACUCAGGAGGCUGAGGCAGGAGAAUUGCUUGAACCCGGGAGGUGGAGGUUGCAGUGAGCCAAGCCUGCACUCCAGCCUGGGCGACAAGAGUGAGACUCCGUCUCCAAAACAAAACAAAACCACCACCACCAAAAAACCUGUUCAGACUGAACACAGAACUCAAGGGCAUUAUUAUAACAGAUUACAAAGUGAAUUUUCUAUAGCUUUGCAAAAGUAUCUAAAUCCCAUACAUCCUUUUAACAGCAAUUUUC